rnacentral:rRNA from 1 species
GCUUACGGCCAUACCAGCCUGAAAGCGCCCGAUCUCGUCAGAUCUCGGAAGCUAAGCAAGGUUGGGCCUGGUUAGUACUUGGAUGGGAGACUUCCUGGGAAUACCAGGUGCUUUAAGCA